rnacentral:rRNA from 1 species
AAUGAACGCUGGCGGCAGGCCUAACACAUGCAAGUCGAGCGAAGUCUUCGGACUUAGCGGCGGACGGGUGAGUAACGCGUGGGAACAUACCCUUUGGUACGGAAUAGCCUCGGGAAACUGGGAGUAAUACCGUAUGUGCCCUUCGGGGAAAGAUUUAUCGCCAAGGUUGGCCGCGUUGGAUUAGGUAGUUGUGGGUAAUGGCUUACCAAGCCGACGAUCCAUAGCUGGUUUGAGAGGAUGAUCAGCCACACUGGGACUGAGACACGGCCCAGACUCC